rnacentral:misc_RNA from 1 species
GUGAAUCAUCGAAUUUUUGAACGCAAAUUGCACUCUCUGGUAUUCCGGAGAGUAUGCCUGUUUGAGGGUCAGUUAAAUAAAAAUCGGUGUUUUGUUGCCGCUUUGCGUAGUGACGCAUCGGGUUUGGGUCGUCUUACCUUCGGUUAAGAGUCUUAAAAUUGAUAUCUUUUUUGCGCGCUUUUAGACGUACAUAAUUUUUUUUAUUCGUCUAUUCCGGUGCCAAAAUUUACUAGGUACGAUUAUCUUGUGCCUAUAAUUUCUCAUCUUUUGACCUCAAAUCAGGUAAGGACACCCGCUGAA